CAUGAUCGCCGCUGACCUCCCGGUGAACCAUGUGCGCCACCAUCAGCGACCUCCUUCAACUCCACAUGUAUCAGAGGUGGGAGCUCUCCUUCCUAUCUAUCUCCUCAGAUUUGAACUGCAUUUAUUUUUUACUUAGAUUGGUUGGAAGGCCUGAUUUUCAAUUGGGGUAACUGUGCUGGGAAGGGUGAGGGAGCCAAGCCCCAAUCGUAGUUCGGUGGCGUGAUGGAUCCAGAUCGAUGCCAACCAUGGACAUGUACGCCGGAUCUCAAUCAAAGUACGAUCUCUAUCGCCAAAGGUAGGAGCAGGAAGAUGAGGUCGUUCCCAUAGUAUAUUUGUGCAGAUCUUCCCACCUGUAUCGUUCCCCUGAAGCCAUAUAUGUUCUUUUAGUGGAAGAGAUGCGUACUUACUGUAAAUUCAGAUGAGGUCGUUCCGUUCGUAUAUUUGUCCAGAUCUUUGCUGUACGGGCCUGAUGUGUACUGUAAAUGCACCUUACUUUUCCAUUUUUUUGUUGAUGGGUAUGUGGCUCGUGGUCAUGUACAAAUACUAGGAUGUAUGAAUGUGCAGAUUGGAAAAUUCAUCACAGUACUGCAUGGGGGGUCCUAUCAUCCACCAUCCAGAAUUUUUGUGCGUUAGUUUGUUCAAAUUUUCUUGAAGUUUAUAUAUAGCCAUAUCAUUUGUGGUUCAACUUAUUCUGCAGAGAGUUUGGUUGGUCUGCUUGGAUAAGGAUUUAGGAGGUGCUUUCAGUUAGAGUUGAUGAAUUUCUAUUGUGCUAUUCAGCACCUUCAGAGUAGUAUUCUGUAAGGUUCUUUAUGAUAAAAAGCAAUUUAUUUUUGAAAGAUUUGUGGCUGGAAUUUUCCUUUCAUUUUGCUUACACGUUCGUUGUAGUUAUCUCCCUCUCUCUGUACGUUGUUACAUAAUAUGACUUGAUGGUGAUUUAGUUUGCAACAUUUGUGAAGCCAGGCUAUGUCUACAGGUUUUGUUGUUCUUUCUAGACAUGCCCAGGGUCCCACUGGGCUUUGUUGGUGGAUUCCUUUCUAAAAUCCUGUUUGUUGAAGUGAUAUAUAAUGUAAUGUUAGGUUAAUUUUUUUAGCUUUCACCCACUUGAUGAUGAGAAGGCAAGCAAUACGAGCAGAAAAACAUGUGUAGUAUCGAAUUUGCAGUUGGAUAUAUUACUUCACCGUUUUGUUAUUCAAGAAUAAUUUAUUUGUCCCCG
rnacentral:lncRNA from 1 species